CGUGUUCUGUUGCCACCGGAUGUAAAUCCGAGCACUCUGGACAGACUGCCUGGUUUCAACUAGGAGGAAGGUGGGGAUGACGUCAAGUCAGUAUGCCCCUUACGGCCAGGGCUGCACACGUACUACAAUGCCUGAUAUAAUGGGAAGCAAGACCGCGAGGUGGAGCAAAUCCUCAAAAAUCAGGCCCAGUUCAGAUUGUAGGCUGCAACUCGCCUACAUGAAGGAGGAAUCGCUAGUAAUGCCGUAUCAGCUACGACGCAUGAAUACGUUC
rnacentral:rRNA from 1 species